rnacentral:lncRNA from 1 species
UGCUGCUUUAGUGCUCGGACAACAGCCAUGACACAGACAUGAAGGGACCCCUCCCCCACCCAGCACUGAACCCAUUGCAGCUGUGGCCUCGGUGGGCCGGGUGGCAGAGUUAGCACCUGGCUUUGUGCAAAGGGGAGAAGUGAUGUUGUUCCCCAGGCAAGGUCGGGGCAGCAGACUGGCUGGGACGCCGUAGCAAAGGUCUGGGUGCGAUGGCUGAGACGGCAGGGCCCGAGCCAGGGCCACAGAGCGGAGAUCUGCCUCCAAGAGAAGACAUGUUGAGGGAGUAAAAUCAACAGGAUUUGGUUUCUGAACGAUUGGGAGGGUUGAGGUGAAAGUAGGUUUGAAAAUGUUGGCUGAUUUUUGAACUUGGAUAACAAGGGACAAGUUGGCAAAGAGGAGUCUGGGUUGGAAAAUACUGAAUGCAAGGAGCUGGGAAACAAGCUAAUAUGAAGUAGUAAAAAGUCUGAAAAAUAAUGUGCGUCAAUUACACAUCACAUGUAAUUGCUAUCAAUUAUACAGAAAUUAGACUGUGCUUCCCAGUAGAGUCUUAGGGCACUUGAGCUAAGGAAUACAUCAGAAUGAGCAGUAAAUGCCAUAUCAACUACAAAUUAUGCUCUGACACACCUUAGGACACUUAACAUUCCACUUGUCGUUCCCAUGUUUAGAGACGCCUUUGAAAUUGUGUUUAACCAUUAACCUGUUCUGUUGAUGCAAAGAGAUGUUCCUGAGGAAAGCUCAGCUUAGCUCACCCACAUCUGACAAGUGCAUGAAGGCUGAGACUUUCCUGGGCAACAGUUGACAGACCUCUUAACAGAGGAAAUGCACAAGCUGCCAGAGAAUAACACUUUGGUCACAGAACUAGAGAUCCAAAAGAUUAAAUGGAGGUUGUUAGAUGCUAUAUUCCAGGGUUAAAAAUAGUAUCCUUAUUCCUCUAAAGAUGAGAUCUUCAUUCCUGGGAUAUUUUUUUCUUUAAUUUUUGAAUCACUUAUUUCUUCUCCAUUUGCGUGCAAUUAAGUCCCAAGAAGAAGGAACCUUUCAGAAGGAUUUCCAGUCUGACAUUGAGGUCAAGAGAUCAUAGACCUAACUGGUAAGAGGAUCCAGAGUUCUCACUUUUCAAGCGUCUUGCUUGCACCCCUCCCCAUGCCAGACAUGAAGCUCAGGCACAUCCCACCAAUGUGA